GUGAACCGGGGACGCCGCCAUGGGUCCGAUCACCACGCCGGGGCGGUGACCGGAUCAUUGGCCCCCUAUAAAUGCCCAACGGCCGGACCAACCCUCUUCGGACAAAGCACCUAUUUUCCCCUCACCAAGUUAUCGUUUCCUUCUCCUCUCUCUCUCUCUCUNNNNNNNNNNNNNNNNNNNNUUCUUCUCUCUCUCUCUCUCUCUCUCUCUCUCUCUCUCCCCAGUCCGGGAGAUCAAGGCCUCGCUCCAAGACUCUAUCGGGUUCGUCUCAUCUUUAAGUAAUUCUCAUCUUCUUUUAUCUCCGAUUUGAGCGGUAGUUUUCGUGAUCUGGAUCGGGUUUUGAUUCCAGAUGUCUCGCGCUUCGCGUUUUAUUUACUUCAGACCUUGUUCUGCUUAAAUCUAUAUGUUUGUUGUGGCUAUGUUAGAUUCGGCGAUAAUUUAAGUCAAUCCAUGCCAAUAGAUUUUUAUUUUGGUGAUAUAUUAUUGUGAGUGUUGAAUAUAGGCAUUUAGAAUUCUAUUCCCUGUUCCUUCUUUGUUAGUAUUGGUCUGAUGUUAUUAGAAAGGUCUAUUCAAGCUCGAUCAAGUUUUGGUUAUCAGUUGGAGUUCUUAAUAGCAUAUUUGGAUGCUGUGUGCUUUUGAUUGUGCUAAGCUCUUCAGAAUUUUGGAUUCAGGAUGGACUUUUCUUUGGACUAAUUUAUCUUUUGAUUGGGUUUGCUUUUGAUUCCUAUUAUUAUAUUUUGUUUGUUCUUCUGAAACUUCUGCCACUCUUAUUCUUUCUAAACUUUAAAUCCUUAAAACAUUUGAUCUAAGGAUAGCCAGCUUUAAAUUAUCCUGUGAGGGAUUGGUCGUUCCCUGCGUUUUUUGUUUUUCAAUUAGCUAUAGUAUUUUGAGCCCUUAAAAAUUAGUUUCCAGUUUGAACUAACUUAGGGGCUUUAGGUUCUGUAAAAGACCUGACCAAGGUGUAAGACCACUCUGGAGUCUGGAGCAAGUCUUCUUUUUUCCUCCACUUCUUCUCCUUGAAUGUUCUCUUCUCUUUUCCUCUUUUUUCUGCACUUAGCCAGCAUAAGUCUACUUCAAAUAAGAGUCUCUAAAAGGCAACAGCUCUUUUUAGUUCUUCCUGCAUACAGCCACAACUAUCAGAAUUCGCAGCCACGAGCUUGAAUAAGGGCCUGUUUGGAUAUUCUUACAGAAUUAAGCUGAAAAUUCUGCAGGAUUCGUGAAUUGAGCCGCCUAUUUAAGGGCCUGUUUGGGUGUCCCUACAGAAUUGAAUUGAAAAUCCUGUAGGUUUUGUGGAUUUGGCCAUUUACUUAAGCAUUGCCCUAUAUCAACCAAAUACCACCCAGCCCAAAUCCUAUGGGAAGGGGAAAAAAAGACCUCUAUAGAUCUAUUUUUUUCUUCCUACAGCGACAAAGGUUAGGAUCUAGACUGGAUUUGGAUAGGCACUUGGAAAAUGCAAACUAGAUGGGCCAACAGGCCCGAUUCCAAUUAAAUUUUCAACCCAAUUCUGUAGGAAUAUCCAAAUAGGCUCUAAGUGUUUUAGGGCUGACUUAGCUCAAAUUUUGUUUAACUGGGCUGACUUGGUCUGCUAUUGAAGCAGCCACUUUAGGCCCUUCCCGAUAUCCAAUUCAACCUCUUAAUUGUCCAGAAGCAUAUCCAUCUCAACCCUAAAUGCAGCUCUUUACAGAGACCCCAGCACACUUAUUGUGACCGGUCUGCUAAUAGAUCUAUAAUCAGUAGGCUAGUCUGUUGCAGAUGUCAGUCUGGCUGUUAUUUGACUCCCAAAACUUUCCUCAGUUGUCCUUCAAGCUCGAACCCUUGUUAACUUUUGCAUAAAAUACCUUCAUUAUAAUCAAUAACCCUUCAGUAUCUCCUAAUAUAAAGUGAUAGUUGAGCUCGGGAGGAUCUUAGAAACUGUUUAGGCUUGAGAGGAUCUUCAGAUCAGGUUGCAGUCUGCUAAACCUCCUCUCAUUCUUCUAAUUUCUCAUAUUAUUCUCCUCUUUCUUGUGGUGCCUUUCUGUCUCUCCCUUUCCUUAAUUUAAUUACCCUCUUUCUGAUAGAGCACAACAGUAGUAUUGCUGUUUGUCAGUUCUGAGAAAGAUCUGAGGCUGUUUCAAGCUAGCAGCUGAGAGAAAGGCUCGAAGAUUGGACAUAUAGAGAUCAAACUUCAUCCCUAGCAUUUGUCUGGGUUAUGUCACUAGGGCUACUGUUUGUUGUUGUGUAGUCUUAAGCUUGGGCUUAUCAUAUAGUAUUUCAUGCUUCGAUCUUUAGUUUUUAGACACCAGAAUAUCUCAGUAUUAGAAAUGCCCUAGAAGCCAAUUUUGCUGACGCAUUAUUUUGUUCUAAGAUAUAAAUUUAUGCUUGACCUAAUUAUGAAUUUAUUAAGUUGGGCAUUCUUAUCAUUCAUGUUCUUUUGUGUCCAUGAAUCGUCCAAAGAAUUAAUAAGAUGAUGACACAUAUUCUCAAGAGUUGAGAAUUUGAGGCAUGUGUCAUUGGUGAUUAACUCCUGAAUUGCUCCUGAUCGAUGGAUCAUCGCGAGGACGAUCGAUCCGCUGAGAUUAGUGCAUAGAUCACUUUCUUUGAUGAACGAGUCUUGAGUCCAUAGUGUGGGGACACUGGAGUGAUUAUGCAAGUUCUUAUUAGAGAACAAGAGUGCUGAGCGUAACCAUAGCAAGUAGUUACUUGGAUGUCUAAUCCACUCGUCAGUAACUUACUUGAUGCUGUAGUUGUAUAACUGGUCCUUUGACCUGUGAUGCCUCGGCUAUUCACAGUAAGGUUGCUAUAGUUUGACGAACACACAAUCAUGGACCCUACCAUUUGGAUCCUUGUGGUGCAGAUUGGUUGCAGUAGGUUCAUUGUAGGAGUAAGGUGCAUUUAGAUGGAAUCUAUCGACCUUGAUAGAUUAUGAAAGAUCCUAUAUGAUUUAUAAAACUGAGUUCAUAAAUCCUUGGCCAAAGUAGUUUUUGGAAAAGAGUUUCCAAUCUCGAACUAGAGUCGAAUAAAUUUUACAUAUGACAAAUGAUGAGGUUUGACGAGUUAUCCAUGACCUCCAUCUCGUCGGGAUCCACGAUAGAGGGACUGUAUCAUACACCAACUGCACCUACAGGUUCAUCUAUUCCAUUCUGCUGGGUAGUCACUACAUGCUACUAGGUGUCAUUGGUAGAUUGUGAGACUCAAAAGCAUUCACUUGAUCAGUGAACCAGAAUGAGAGGAGUUAGAAUUGUUCCAACCUAUUGAAAGAAGUUUUAAUGAUAUUGUGAUAGUGAUCACAAUAUAUCGCACUACCAGACAGAAUAAAAUCUAUGGGGUCACACAUAAUAGAGGAUCUGAUCGAUCUGAUGGUUGGAUUAUGAUUUGGAAUCACAAUAGUUGGUAAUUAUCAAUUUGAUUGGUAAUUGGCUUAACCCACUAAGAAUUAGUGAGUUGAAGAAGGAAUUAAUUGUAAUUGGAUUGCAAUUUGAUUGAAUCAAUUAGGCUUAAUUAAUUGGGCUCGAUCUUAUUUGAUAAGGUUCAAGAGUCCUACUUAGAGUAAGACUCCUAGAGUUCUAAUUGGAUUACGACUUUAAAUUAUUAGAGUCCUAUCCGGAGUAGGAUUCCUAAAGUCCUAAUUGGAUUAGGACUAAAAUUAUAUGAGUCCAAUUGGAUUAGGACUCCUAGAGUUCUAAUUAAUUAUUGGUCUAAUAGAUGAAGAUGACUCCUAAUUGGAUUAGAAUUGAAGAGUUCAAUUGAGUCAUGAUCCAAUUGAGUCCUAAUUAGAUUAGGACUCCAAGAGUCAUAAUUGAUUUAAUCUUAUGGAUAAGGAUCUUGAAUCAAAUAGAAAGACUAAUUGGGUCCUAAUUAGAUUAGGAUUCAAUGAACCAAGGGCCACCUAAAUCCUAAUUUGAUUAGGAUUAGAAGGGAGGGGCAAGAACCCCUCCUUUCCCUGGGUACUCUUGGGAUCCGCAUCCCGGUUGUCCGGGACGCGCGUCCCGGGUGUCCGCGAGACCCGGUUGGGGCGUGGCUCCUUCUAAUUUUAAGAAGGACGCCACGCCUAGGGCAUUUAGAUGAAAAGAAAUAAAAAAGGGGCCAGCCACCCUUGGGUCUGGGGCUUUCCUUUUCAUCAUGGCGGCCAUCUCUCCCUCUCUUCCUUCUUCCAUCCGCAAGGGCCAAAGAAAAGGGGCAGCAAGCAAGAUUGGAGUCAUCUUCUUCCUCCUCUUCUUCAGCUGCAUGGAAGAAAACAUAGAGAGGAAGGUGUUCCUCUCUUCCUCCUUCCAAGAAAAAGAGAAAGCGUUUCUCUCUCCUUCUUCCUCCUCUUGAGAGCAAUCAAGAGUUGAUUGCUUAAAGAAGUUCCAACUAUCAAAAGAAAUCUCUGCACGGGAGCUAGCACCCCAGUGAGAUCGUAACCUCGAUCAAUCCUGAUCUUCGUGUGGAUACCCGUAUAGGUCGGACACUUGUACGGUUUCAAGCGAAUCCAAUUUCCACGAUCAUCAGAUAGCGGUGAAGAUCUACCCGCUCAAAGGUAAAAAUUUGAUCUUUAUAUUUUUUAAUUAUAGAUAUGAAAUUAAUCAAAUAAUUUAAUUUUAAUAUUUUCUUAGAUUUCAUAAUCUUCUGAGUUAGAAAAUUUAGAAUUUUUUUGAAAUCUACGUUCCCUAAGACGUUAAUGUGAUGAACGACCCCGCGCGUAUAUUUCUGCUGCAAUCAUCGCAACGCAUAUGGGGGUAACCCAACACUCAGCAGCAGUUUAUCUGCAUGUGCAAUUAGUUUGGUUUAUUUCCUUUGUAUUAAAUUGCUUGAUCAGCCAUAGUGUAUUAUAUAUACAUAUAUAUGAUCGUCAUCAAAUUGGAGAUUAAAUUGGACAGAUAAGGGCAAACAGAAUUGAAUAAUUAGAGGAAUUUGCCGAUUGCCAGUUCAAAUGGGGUUUUCAUGAAUCUUCAUGCUUUUAGGAGUUGUUAACAUAUCCUAAAAUCAUUGACUUAUGCAAGAUUGAAAGGUUUUCUAUUUCAGUGGACAUUAAUAACUAAUUUCACGUUAGGUUACUCUCACAUGUGAGGUCUCUCAUCUUUCUAAGAAGUUCUGAUUACUGCAGGUUAUUGGUGAGGCACUGAGGCUCUACCUCACUCGAAUUAAAAAGAGAAUAUAUGAUAAUUCUGGACACGACAAAUGAAUAUAGGCAUCUAGGAUGUAUUGAAUUGGGUCUAUGAAAUAGCUACUGCUAUAUUAGGACAUUCUGUAUGGUUAGCCGAUGUGUCCACCAUUUGUGGCUGACCACCCUUAAGGUAAGUCUGGUGAAGUUUCCUUGUUUCCAAAUUGCUAAGAUUUUAGCAACCUAUAUUCUAAUUUUGUUCAAUCUUUUUUUCUUUUCUACCUUCCUAUGUUUUUAUUUAGUUAUGUUGAUUCUUCUUAUCUAGAUUUAUCAGGUAAAGGGAAAUUGUUAACCAGUCCAUGAUCUGUAGAGACUGGUUGAUCGCUUGUAUUUACGAAAAGGUUGCUUGGAUUUAUCCAUGGUUUAUUCUUUAUCUUUAAAAUUUGAUUUCUUUAUUCAUUUCAGAUCUGACCGAAAUAGGCUGCUCGAACAUCANNN
rnacentral:lncRNA from 1 species